rnacentral:misc_RNA from 1 species
GUGAAUCAUCGAAUUUUUGAACGCAAAUUGCGCUUCCUGGCAUCCCGGGAAGUAUGCCUGUUUGAGGGUCAGUAUUAAUAAAAAAUCGGUUUAGUUACAAAUUGUGACGUUUCCGGAGUUUGGGCUAUCUUAACAUUUUUGGUUAAGAGGCUUAAAAUUGACCUUUUUUGCGCAUUUUUAACGUUCCUUAAUUUUUUUUAUUAGUUUUAUUCUAAUGCCAAAAUUG